CCACCACUCUUUUAAUCAAAGAGUGGACCAGGAGAGCUCAGAGGUUCCCAGUGGUCAGUCUGCCCAGCAGCAUCAAACACACCUGGACUCCAUAUUUAUGGUCUGUACAUGGACAACAACUACUUUUACAUCUAUUGUGUUCACAAUAAUUUCCAUGCUGCACUUUUUAGACCAGUGGAUGGUCAGUCU
rnacentral:lncRNA from 15 species